rnacentral:rRNA from 1 species
AUUGAACGCUGGCGGCAGGCCUAACACAUGCAAGUCGAGCGAGCGGCGGACGGGUGAGUAAUGUAUGGGGACUGCCCGAUAGAGGGGGAUAACUACUGGAAACGGUGGCUAAUACCGCAUACCAUCGGAUAACCUAUAUGGGAUUAGCUAGUAGGUGGGGUAAAGGCUCACCUCGGCGACGAUCUCUAGCUGGUCUGAGAGGAUGAUCAGCCAGACUGGAACUGGUACACGGCCCGGACUCCUACGGAGGCAGCAGUGGGGAAUAUUGCACAGUGGGCGCAAGCCUGAUGCAGCCAAGCCGCGUGUAUGAAGAGGGCCUUAGGGUUGUAAAAUACUUUCAGCGGGGGGGCGUUACCCGCAGAAGAAGCACCGGCUAACUCCGUGCCAGCCGCCGCGGUAAUUC